UGAUUCAUCUAUUCAUUCAGUGAAUGAACUUACACAAAAACAUGAUAGAUUUCUUCUUACUGGUAUUAAGAUUUCAACUACAAACUCAUCUUCUUCAUCUUCAUCAUCAACACCUUCUUCUGCUACUACCAAGUCAAAUCAUAUUCCUUCUUCUUCUUUGAUUGAAAAAUCUACUACUCCUUCACCAACAUCUAUGGAAGAAGGAAGUGGUGGUUCUACUAUAUCUCAAUACUUGAUUGAGACUCUACCUGGUUGGCAAGUUGAUGAUUUUCUUGAUUCUUCUUCUGUUCCCUUUGCUUUCUCCAAGGUUUUCCUAUUUUCUACCUCUCUCUUACUCUAAAUUAUUAAUUUGUAUCAUGUUUUUUUUAUAGUUUGAUUAGAUCUAAUUAAGAUUUUAAAUUGUGAUCGUGUUACAAUCUUUGAUAUUAUAAAACUGCAGUCAAAUUCAGCUGAUACAACGUUAUAAUCUACAAAGUGGUGAGGGGUUGUAUCAGCUGCAUUUGACUGCAAUUAUUUGUAAUAUCAAAGAUACUAAUCGAUUGGUUUAAAAAAUAAUUGAUUGGUUUGUUUAUGAUUGGAUCUGGUGUAUGAAAUGCAGGGUGAUGAAUUGUUUAAUGCUGGUAUUGAAGAGAAUCUUGAUUCAUUCUUUCCCAAUAAUAAUAUGGGGAUAUGGGUUCCUCAAGCACCACCACCUUCUCUAUAUUCAUCUUCACAGAUAAUGAUGGGGCAGAGUGAGACUACAAAGAAGGGGAGCAACAACAAAAGCACCAUCA
rnacentral:lncRNA from 1 species